AACGAACGCUGGCGGCAGGCUUAACACAUGCAAGUCGAGCGCCCCGCAAGGGGAGCGGCAGACGGGUGAGUAACGCGUGGGAAUCUACCCAUCUCUACGGAACAACUCCGGGAAACUGGAGCUAAUACCGUAUACGUCCUUCGGGAGAAAGAUUUAUCGGAGAUGGAUGAGCCCGCGUUGGAUUAGCUAGUUGGUGGGGUAAAGGCCUACCAAGGCGACGAUCCAUAGCUGGUCUGAGAGGAUGAUCAGCCACACUGGGACUGAGACACGGCCCAGACUCCUACGGGAGGCAGCGGUGGGGAAUAUUGGACAAUGGGCGCAAGCCUGAUCCAGCCAUGCCGCGUGAGUGAUGAAGGCCCUAGGGUUGUAAAGCUCUUUCACCGGUGAAGAUAAUGACGGUAACCGGAGAAGAAGCCCCGGCUAACUUCGUGCCAGCCGCCGCAGUAAUAC
rnacentral:rRNA from 1 species